GUGAACAACAAUGCAAAGUCUAUAUUGUGCUGUUUCUUUUCGCCUUUCAAAGUCAGUUGAGACAACUAAAGACACUACUUCUUUUCAGAAAUCAAGUAUGGACGUUCAGGAGUAUUCUGCCUCUAAAAUUUUAGAAAAGAAUGCUUUAUUUUAGCAGUAAUAUCGUCGUUAAACUGAAAGGUGACGUUGUUCAACAUUCAACGGCGUCAAGUCGAAGUACAAACUGAAAGAUUGCAUCGACUUGGAUUUUACAAAAUGAAGGAUAGCAGCUGGUAUUUGACAAUUUUUAUCUAUCUACGAACUGAGGAGCUUUGAUGGACGACGUACUUUUCAGCAAGAAAUGACAAGAACGCAUCUCUCUGUCGGUACCAGUACCAAAUUCAAGUCUUCCAUAAAAUCCUCUGUUGGCAAAUGUUGCAAAUUUGGUUGUAGCAAAUUAGAAAAACCUGUCAAGGAGAUAUUUCUGAAAAACGACAGUUAUUACUGUCAUCUCCUUCGUUAUCAGUGACGUUUCCUAAAUGGCGGAUCUAGUGUACCUCAAAAUAAGUUAAAGCUCCUAAAUUUUAAAUUCAAAUUAUAUUAGAAAAAAACUAUUGGUUUUUAAUUUCUAAAGAAUAUAAUUUUACGAAUGGAUUAGUCUCUAAGGUGUUUAGAAAUGUAAAUAUAUACAAAAAUGUACUGCAGUAAUUUAUUUUGACGUAGUCUGGAUCCGGCACUGCCUGAGCCAAACAUUUUUUCCUUCGGCAGGGAAAGUUGUUGAAAAAAACGUAAAACUGUGUACCAUAGAACAUUAAAAAUUUCUUUUGGCCAUAGGUAAACACUACGGAGAAUUUACUAGAAUUUAGUAGACUAUGCAGUCUUUACAGCGUUCUAUAAGGCAUAUUCUAAAAUUGCAUAUUCUGAGAAACGUUUCACUUCCACAACGUGGAACUUUUCUGAUGGGGAAAUGUUGACAUGGCAACCGUUGUCUAAACAGGCUGAAAGUAACUAGUUAUCUUCGUGCAACCGGCCCUUUGUUACGUAAAUUUUAGAAAUCGUUCAUAAAAAGUCAUAGUAUUUAGUAAGUUAGAACAAUAUUGGGCUUUCCAUAGUCUAUCGAAUAGUGCAGGAAAUGAAAAAAGAUUGUUACGAUGGUUACGAGGCAUAUAUAAAUAAAAAAUCAAAAAAAGAUCAUUUACAAAA